AACUAACAAGGAUUCCCCUAGUAACUGCGAGUGAACCGGGAAAAGCUCAAAUUUUGAAUCUGGCGGUCCAAGGGCCGUCCGAGUUGUAAUCUAGAGAAGCGUCUUCCGCGCUGGACCGUGUAUAAGUUUCCUGGAAUGGAACGUCGUAGAGGGUGACAAUCCCGUCUUUGACACGGACUCCCAGUGCUAUGUGAUGCGCUCUCGACGAGUCGAGUUGUUUGGGAAUGCAGCUCAAAUAGGGUGGUAAAUUCCAUCUAAAGCUAAAUACAGGCGAGAGACCGAUAGCGAACAAGUACCGUGAGGGAAAGAUGAAAAGAACUUUGGAAAGAGAGUUAAACAGUACGUGAAAUUGCUGAAAGGGAAACGCUUGAUGUCAGUCGCAUCGUCCGGGGAUCAGCCUCGCUCUUUUGCUCGGCGUACUUCCUGGUCGAUGGGUCAGCAUCGGUUUCGACCGUCGGAAAAUGGCUCGAGGAACGUGGCACUCUUCGGGGUGUGUUAUAGCCUCGAGUCGAAUACGACGGUCGGGACCGAGGAACUCAGCACGACCUUCGGGUUCGGGGCUUCGGCUCACGUUCGCGUGCUUAGGAUGCUGGCAUAAUGGCCUUAAGCGACCCGUC
rnacentral:rRNA from 1 species